UGCUAAUUCAUUUUUGAUGGGCACGUCAAUUAACGUUUGACAGUCGUAAACGCGCUAAAUUGGAGGUAAAAACGCCAAGGAGCACUCCAUGUAACAGAAAAUCAAGCUUUAAAAAAUCCAUAAUUCUAAUUACAAUUUCAAAUCCGCUAUACAGCAGUACAGUUUGAAUCGUAAAUGUAAUGGCUUAUUUUAUUGGUAGUUAAAGUUUGUUGACUGAAGUAUUGAUGAAGGUAAAAACUGCUGGUUACUAUUUCUGAAUUGUUCUUUUUGGUAAUCAUAUUUUAUGACCACCACGUGUAACCGGCGUAUAACUAUAUAUAAUCAGUUCGGUUUUAUCAGAGAAAUCGUCGAACCUUUAACAAAAAUGUACCACAAGUUGUUGGUCUCUGUUGUGGUUGUGGUCGCAAUUUUUACCAGUGUUUGCGAAACCAAACCCGGUAGAGAAAUAUGCUAUCUUCCUCUAAUCACAACUGCCUGUACCACGAUAUUUCGCGAACUCAGCUUUUGGUACGAUGCUGAGCUAGUUAAUUGUUUGCCAAUUCCAUUUGGACAAUGUAGUGCCAAUGAGAAUAAGAAUGCUUUUCGGUCGUACGAAGAUUGCGUGAAUUUUUGUAUUCGUAAAGAUUGGCUUUUUUAAUGCUUUAUUUACAAAAUAAAUAAAAAAUACUUGUCUAAUCAUG